UUUGGGGGCGCGGCCCGUGCGUAUGGGCGUGGCCUCGCCGCGCUCCUGCGUGAUAAAGAUGAGGAACACGAAUGGCAAGCGCAAGUUACAAGCAGUGGGGUAGCCGCCGAGGGAGUACCAUGGUCACUAUGGACUUGCACCGCGGUAGAAAACAAGUGUGGAUUCUGGCGUGGGCAGGAAAAAGGGCGAAUAUGGUCCCGGGCGCCGGAAGUAUGGAUAAGGCAGGACUUCCGGCUUCCGGGAGAACGGAGGCCGAACGGGGUCAUGGUCUGAAGAGCGAAAUGGGUUUUCCCGUGUGAGGGGUGUGGCAAAGUAGAGGGGGUGUAUCCAAGAUGGCCGCAUGCUAGAACCUUGCUUCGUGAGAGCGAAUAACAGGGAUGCAGCUCGGUUAAAAGAAGUCCUGCUGGAAAAUGGAGAACAGCCAGAAAUCAUGUAAGAAGCCCUGCACAUCUCAAAGCAGUUCCUUCACAGCCUGUACAGGAAUCCAUGGUGAACCAACCUUCACCCCUUUCACCCUCUCUUCUGGGACCUGGGCUAGGCAAAAGGCCGUCAUUGCAUAAAGUUGGAAUGCAAUAAGGAUUGAGUAAAUCUUGCUGUUGCUUCAGAAACUUCAGGUGUGUGAUUCCCAAUCUCUUCUGUGUUUACAUCUCCUAGACCAGUACUGCUUGAGUUGGAGGCCGGAGACUGCGUUUUGCUUCUUCCAGGCAAGGUCUCCGUGGACUUACCCACAGGCCGAGACAAGUGGCGCCCCAACAUGGGACCCAAGAACAGGGGACUUAAUGAGGGACGCUGUUAGUGGGCCCAAAGUAGAAAAAGGAAAAGAAAAUAGAGGACCAACGUGGGAGCCUGCCAUGCCACUGAACCUCAGUUACCAUCAGAAGAAUGAAACUACAGCCAUUCACCCUUCCUAUGAGACAGCAAUGGCCAUGGGGGCUGGGAAGAGAAACGUGAAGCCAGUUCACCUUUUCCAUGAACCAGCAGUGGCCUCACAGGGCCAGGAAAAAAAAAACAAGAAGGCAAUUUACCCUUCAUGUGAGCCAACCAGCAGAUAGGCUGGGAGACAAGAAGAUCCUCCCUACCGCCCCAAGCAACUGACUGAUUCGGAGGAUCACAGGCUGAGUUGAUAACGAGGAGGCUCCUGAGAGGAGAGAUUACACACUGCAAGAUGGACUUCAAGCCCUGUUAGUCUUUGCAUCACCGCACCCAACACAGAUGCUGAAGCCAAGGAAAAGACAAGAAAUACUGCAAUGAAGAUGAUUCCUGACAGGUUCCCACCUCUGAGCCUGACUUAGGCUCAUAAUCAGAUAGGUUCCUCUUUGAGAUCAGGUAAUACUCUUGUGGGCCCUUCUAUUUUAUAAGGAGAGAUAUAAGACCCUAACCCUAAAGCAUAAGGUCCCACCUCAAGGUGUGAAGGUAAUAAUCUAAAUGUUGUCCUACUCAGGUUUUCACAUGAUUUUCAGCAUCUUGCUGAAAGCUCCUCUGCCUUUCUCUCUCUAGCUGUUUAGGCUCCUGCAAGUAACUUUGCAACUGAUGAAGAUUGCAAGCCCAAGAUGAUAAUGAUAAAGAGCCUGAGGAUUGCUCUUUAACUCCUUGCAGAUCUCUGUUCAAAUGGUUCCUGGUUCCCAGGUCCGUCAAUCAAGUCCCCACCAUCUCUAGACCUGCAGCUAAGGACCCUAAACAAAUCCUGUAACUUGGUGAAAGAGUUGCUGGCCCAGACCGAACACUUUAACCAGGAGAAGCCUCAGCCAAAUUAAGGAGCUCCUGCCUCCCCCGCCCCUUAGAGAUUUACCUGUAACCCUAUACCCCUGCGCUUAGUAACCUACGUCUGGCGCCAAACGUGUGCCAAUGGGCUACCUGUGAAUACCUAAUACCCCUUAGGGUCCACCCCAAACAGAGGCUACUUAUGGGCCUCACUCCACGUGUUAGAGUGAGAGAGUGUGUUCCAGAGAGAGACCGCUGGCCCCGGGGUGGAGAUGCUGCGCCCCGGGGGCCGGGGGGGUCUCUCCCCGCAUUCCCGAAAUAAAGGUUACUUAUAUUUUA